rnacentral:rRNA from 1 species
CGGAAGGCAGCAGUCGGGAAUAUUGCGCAAUGGAGGAAACUCUGACGCAGUGACGCCGCGUAUAGGAUGAAGGUUUUCGGAUUGUAAACUAUUGUCGUGUGGGAAGAAAUUUGACAGUACCACAGGAGGAAGCUCCGGCUAACUAUGUGCCAGCAGCCGCGGUAAUACAUAGGGAGCAAGCGUUAUCCGGAUUUAUUGGGUGUAAAGGGUGCGUAGACGGAGAAGCAAGUUGGUUGUGAAAUCCCUCGGCUCAACUGAGGAACUGCAACCAAAACUACUUCCCUUGAGUGUCGGAGAGGAAAGUGGAAUUCCUAGUGUAGCGGUGAAAUGCGUAGAUAUUAGGAGGAACACCAGUGGCGAAGGCGACUUUCUGGACGAUAACUGACGUUGAGGCACGAAAGUGUGGGGAGCAAACAGGAUUAGAUACCCUGGUA